rnacentral:lncRNA from 1 species
UUCUGUACAUUUUAUUUUAUUUUUCUUUUUAAUCUAUUUUAAUUUAAUUUGUUUUCGUAGCUUUUCCUUAUCCUAACAAGUUUAUUAUUAUUGUUUUUGUUAGCAUCCAAAAGAUCAAGACAACACACAUAUUAUAGCAUAAAACAUAACUUAAUAUAUUUCUAAACACGACCAAACAAAGAAUUCAUUCAAAUUAGAAAGAUAUGAACAUAAAAACUUUGAUAAUUAAUUAAGAAAAAAGAGCAAGGAAUGGACUCUUAAGCACGCAAGAAAUACUCACAUGUCAUAUAGCAUGUUCGGAUACAUUUCAGUACACAACAUUAAUAAUAUUAAC